GAUGAACGCUAGCGGCAGGCUUAACACAUGCAAGUCGAGGGGUAGAAGGAGCUUGCUCCUUUGAGACCGGUGCACGGGUGCGUAACGCGUAUGCAAUCUACCUUGUACAGGGGGAUAGCCCAGAGAAAUUUGGAUUAAUACCCCAUGGUGUAACGAAAAGGCACCUUUUUGUUACUAAAGUUCCAACGGUACAAGAUGAGCAUGCGUCCCAUUAGCUAGUUGGUGUGGUAACGGCAUACCAAGGCAACGAUGGGUAGGGGUACUGAGAGGGAGAUCCCCCACACUGGUACUGAGCCACGGACCAGACUCCUACGGGAGGCAGCAGUGAGGAAUAUUGGUCAAGGGGCGCAAGCCUGAACCAGCCAUGCCGCGUGGAGGAUGACGGUCCUAUGGAUUGUAAACUGCUUUUGUACAGGAAGAAACACUCCCUCGUGAGGGAACUUGACGGUACUGUAAGAAUAAGGAUCGGCUAACUCCGUGCCAGCCGCCGCGGUAA
rnacentral:rRNA from 1 species